rnacentral:rRNA from 1 species
CCCUGAACCUGCGGAAGGAUCAUU